CAAUCUAGAGUAUNGGAGAGGAAAGUGGAAUUCCUAGUGUAGCGGUGAAAUGCGUAGAUAUUAGGAAGAACACCAGUGGCGAAGGCGACUUUCUGGACGAAAACUGACGCUGAGGCGCGAGAGCCAGGGGGGCGAACGGGAUUAAAUACCCCGGUAGUCCUGGCCGUAUACGAUGGGUACUAGGUGUAGGAGGUAUCGACCCCUUCUGUGCCGGAGUUAACGCAAUAAGUACCCCGCCUGGGGAGUACGACCGCAAGGUUGAAACUCAAAGGAAUUGACGGGGGCCCGCACAAGCGGUGGAGUAUGUGGUUUAAUUCGACGCAACGCGAAGAACCUUACCAGGUCUUGACAUUGAUGGACAGAACCAGAGAUAGUUCCUCUUCUUCGGAAGCCAGAAAACAGGUGGUGCACGGUUGUCGUCAGCUCGUGUCGUGAGAUGUUGGGUUAAGUCCCGCAACGAGCGCAACCCCUAUCUUAUGUUGCCAGCACUUCGGGUGGGAACUCAUGAGAGACUGCCGCAGACAAUGCGGAGGAAGGCGGGGAUGACGUCAAAUCAUCAUGCCCCUUAUGACCUGGGCUACACACGUACUACAAUGGGAGUUAAUAGACGGAAGCGAGAUGGCGAGAUGGAGCAAACCCGAGAAACACUCUCUCAGUUCGGAUCGUAGGCUGCAACUCGCCUACGUGAAGUCGGAAUCGCUAGUAAUCGCAGGUCAGCAUACUGCGGUGAAUACGUUCCCGGGCCUUGUACACACCGCCCGUCACACCACGAAAGUCGGAAGUGCCCAAAGCCGG
rnacentral:rRNA from 1 species